rnacentral:lncRNA from 1 species
CUUGCCAUGUUACUGUCUCUCCCUUUACCUUCACCCCCAAACAAUACAAUAAAGCAAAAACAUUCUUCCCCUUGUAGAGUGCUCCUUGGAUCAUCAAAUGACAACAUCACCUGCCCAGGAGCCCCAGGUCAGACCUGGAGGAUAUUCUACACCAGUCGUCCUCAAACAUAAGCAAGAUCAGAACCACCUACAGGGCUUGAAAUUGCUGAGCUUGGCAAUCUUCCACUGCCGUUAUGAAAUUCUCUGUCAGGCAGCAGGGCCUCUGGCUGGAAAAAGGAUUACUGAAGAAGGACUGUGGUUGCUGGCCCUGAAAUAUUGACAGAAACUCAACUCCAGGUGUGACACCAUCCUCCGCUUUCCUGGCAGAGAAUGCCUUUCUCCAGUGUGCUUUCGAAACAACCAUGAACUGAAUGCUGGCAAAUACAAGCAAUUUCAUUCUCCCAUUUUUUUGUGCUGGCGAAUGAACCCAAGUCUUGCUGCACUGUAAGCAUAUGCUCUACCACUGAACUACACCCCUCGCUUUUUAGCUUCCUUUCCUGAUGAUAAGCUUGGAGUAGUGCUGUUCUUUUUGUUUGUGACCGUCUCACUUUCUAAUUCUAGGUAUGCAAACAUGAAUGGAAGAAUAUUCAACCAGGUAUUUGGGGCUCCUUGUUUUAUCAGCCAUUGAUCCAAAUAACUAAUGUCUCUACAUACUGAUGCCAAAGAGUCUACACCAAGCAUUCACUUCACUUUGUAAAAGUUUCUGAACAAUGUGGCAUGGUUAUUUCCACUAAUGAACACGUUACAAACGAACACAUUUUGGCUAACCUACUUGAAAUUUGGCAGAUCUGACCACUCCAAACUCAGCAAAGGGAUAGUAAAAAUAAUAAAUUUAAUAAAGCAAGAUUUUUUUUAAAACUUUCAUAAUUCAGAAAUGUUUAUUAACUUCAUUUGGUUUUUCAUUUUUUCCUUUUAAAAUUAAUUCCAUUCAGGUGAAAGACCCGAAUAAAAGUUUCUAAUAUAUCAGGGGGACAUCAACCUCUCCAAAUCACACACAUACAGUUCAGGCUGCAAUCAGACAAGCCA